rnacentral:rRNA from 1 species
CCUACGGGGGGCAGCAGUGAGGAAUAUUGGUCAAUGGACGAGAGUCUGAACCAGCCAAGUAGCGUGAAGGAUGACUGCCCUAUGGGUUGUAAACUUCUUUUAUAUGGGAAUAAAAUGUUCCACGUGUGGGAUUUUGUAUGUACCAUAUGAAUAAGGAUCGGCUAACUCCGUGCCAGGAGCCGCGGUAAUACGGAGGAUCCGAGCGUUAUCCGGAUUUAUUGGGUUUAAAGGGAGCGUAGGUGGAUUAUUAAGUCAGUUGUGAAAGUUUGCGGCUCAAACGUAAAAUUGCAGUUGAAACUGGCAGUCUUGAGUACAGGAGAGGUGGGCGGAAUUCGUGGUGUAGCGGUGAAAUGCUUAGAUAUAACGAAGAACUCCGAUGGCGAAGGCAGCUCUCUGGCCUGCAACUGACACUGAGGCUCGAAAGUGUGGGUAUCAAACAGGAUUAGAUACCCGAGUAGUC